rnacentral:rRNA from 1 species
AUUGAACGCUGGCGGCAGGCCUAACACAUGCAAGUCGAACGGAGCGGCGGACGGGUACGUAAUACCUAGGAAUCUGCCUGGUCCCGGGGGAUAACGUCCGGAAACGGGCGCUGAAACCGAAUCCUCUUAGCUGCGCAUGGGUCGGAUUAGCUAGUUGGUGGGGUAAAGGCAUACCAAGGCGACGAUCCGUAACUGGUCCGGGAGGAUGAUCAGUCACACUGGAACUGAGACACGGUCCAGACUCCUACGGGAGGCAGCAGUGGGGAAUAUUGGACAAUGGGCGAAAGCCUGAUCCAGCCAUGCCGCGUGUGUGAAGAAGGUCUUCGGAUUGUAAAGCACUUUAAGUUGGGAGGCGUUACCAACAGAAGAAGCACCGGCUAACUCCGUGCCAGCAGCCGCGGUAAUUC